GGCGUAAGCGCACGCAGGCGGUUUGUUAAGUCAGAUGUGAAAUCCCCGGGCUCAACCUGGGAACUGCAUCUGAUACUGGCAAGCUUGAGUCUCGUAGAGGGGGGUAGAAUUCCAGGUGUAGCGGUGAAAUGCGUAGAGAUCUGGAGGAAUACCGGUGGCGAAGGCGGCCCCCUGGACGAAGACUGACGCUCAGGUGCGAAAGCGUGGGGAGCAAACAGGAUUAGAUACCCUGGUAGUCCACGCCGUAAACGAUGUCGACUUGGAGGUUGUGCCCUUGAGGCGUGGCUUCCGGAGCUAACGCGUUAAGUCGACCGCCUGGGGAGUACGGCCGCAAGGUUAAAACUCAAAUGAAUU
rnacentral:rRNA from 1 species